rnacentral:rRNA from 1 species
GACGAACGCUGGCGGCGUGCCUAAUACAUGCAAGUCGAGCGGGUUUAUCCUUCGGGAUAAGCUAGCGGCGGACGGGUGAGUAACACGUAGGUAACCUGCCUUUAAGACUGGGAUAACUAUCGGAAACGAUAGCUAAGACCGGAUAACCGGUUUUCUCGCAUGAGAGAAUCGUAAAACACGGAGCAAUCUGUGGCUUAGAGAUGGGCCUGCGGCGCAUUAGCUAGUUGGUGGGGUAACGGCUCACCAAGGCGACGAUGCGUAGCCGACCUGAGAGGGUGAACGGCCACACUGGGACUGAGACACGGCCCAGACUCCUACGGGAGGCAGCAGUAGGGAAUCUUCCGCAAUGGACGCAAGUCUGACGGAGCAACGCCGCGUGAGUGAUGAAGGUUUUCGGAUCGUAAAGCUCUGUUGCCCUAGACGAACAGCAUGAGGAGUAACUGCCUUGUGUGUGACGGUAUAGGAGAAGAAAG